AAAGAUAUACUCACACAAUACAAAGUUUUCAGCAGAAGAGAUCGGACUUGAAUACCGAAAGAUCGCUUGGCUCGAGGACGGUAGAGAAACAAAGAACGGUUAGUCAUUUUAUCGGAGAACAUCCGCAGAAAAUAAAUGAGAGAAAUAUUGUUGAAAAUAAACAUUUAUAGCCGUGCACUGGAAUUUGAACGUUGUGUCUUUGCAGUCCUUCGACCAUAGGAGGUCGAACGUGAUGCGACAAUUAUAAAAGGAAGGGAAAGAAGAUAAAUACUAGAGCUGCUUCGUGCAUGUGUGUCGCGUGUGUUAAGGCUCUUAGUAAAAGAUUGCGUACACGUCGCAACUGUCUAAAAAUAUAAAAAAGUCUUCGAUGUAUCAACGAUAAUUUCUUAACGAAUUCGACUGUUACGAACUCUCGAACAGAAUGGCCGUCUCAUUCGAACGACUAUACGAAUUUGGUGAAUGGUCGAUAAUUAACAUACGACGCGACAUGCGUUAAUGUGUCUCCGUCCAUCCUCUCGAGAAUACAGAACAAAACAACACAUAUGUGAAACAUGUUUUUUUUUCUUACUUUAAUGUUUCUCUGAAGAAGUUCCAGCAAUUAGAUAUAAACCGGAGAUCAAGAAAACUACAAUUAUUGUGUUAAGCACGUUCAAGCGGUAGGAUAUUUUACGUCACGAAAGGUAUAGCGAUUGUGUUUACGCUGCACAGCCAGCAGCCCCCGUAUGGGAGACGCGAAACACGAGCACACCCAGGUUUCCCCGCGACCACGCCGCGGAACGUAACAUCCUCUUUCACGAACGACAUAGAAAAGUUCAUCGCGGUGGAAUGCGCUACAAGGAACAAUGAGCGAAUAAAGAACGUGGUCCCGUGGUUUCCGGCCUUUGGGGAAUGUCGUCGUCGUGGGAAGAAUAACGAGGGUUUUUAAUAUAACGCUAUAAUUGCCGCGUGUACUUACACUUCCAACAGCCCGCGUGUGUAAAUUUAGCACCCCGACAUUUAAAAUUCCAUAGUUCUAAUCGGGAGUUCCCCCGGUUUGUUUUGAAGAAAAGACCAAGAGAAUUGCCUUGAAAGAAGUGCAUGACAAUUGAAGAUGUUGCGAGCAAUUUUCUGUCAUGAAAGUGACAAUUUUUGAAAUUCCGAGAUUGUGAGAGAAAUUUUCAUUAUAUUUUCGAGAUUAAAAGUUUUCUAACAAUUUGUUAGUUAAAAGAGAUCUAUGGCUAUUUGAAGGUGUUGCGAACAAUUUUCAGAGUCUCGGAGGAGGACAAUUUUUGCUUGGAGAGCUUCGAGUUUUGAUUGGAGGUUCCGCUUCAUUUUGAGAAGAGAUCAAGUUCUCUCUGUAGUUUGUAAAAGGUUUACAUCAGCAAAAUCACACGAACACCACAUCGGUCAGGCAAGAAAGAACCUCCGUAACGAGAGGGGAGGUCGAGCAACUUCGGAAGCGGUCGAGGCCA